rnacentral:rRNA from 1 species
AAAGGGUGAUAGCCCCGUAACCGACACAUCAUAAUCAGUGAAAACGAGUAGGGCGGGACACGUGAUAUCCUGUCUGAAUAUGGGGGGACCAUCCUCCAAGGCUAAAUACUACUGACUGACCGAUAGUGAACCAGUACCGUGAGGGAAAGGCGAAAAGAACCCCUGUGAGGGGAGUGAAAUAGAACCUGAAACCGUGUACGUACAAGCAGUAGGAGCACCUUCGUGGUGUGACUGCGUACCUUUUGUAUAAUGGGUCAGCGACUUAAUUUUAGUAGCAAGGUUAACCGUUUAGGGGAGCCGUAGGGAAACCGAGUCUUAACUGGGCGUACAGUUGCUAGGAUUAGACCCGAAACCAGGUGAUCUAGCCAUGGGCAGGUUGAAGGUUGAGUAACAUCAACUGGAGGACCGAACCGACUAAUGUUGAAAAAUUAGCGGAUGACUUGUGGCUAGGGGUGAAAGGCCAAUCAAACCUGGAGAUAGCUGGUUCUCCCCGAAAGCUAUUUAGGUAGCGCCUCGGACGAAUACUACUGGGGGUAGAGCACUGUUAAGGCUAGGGGGUCAUCCCGACUUACCAACCCUUUGCAAACUCCGAAUACCAGUAAGUACUAUCCGGGAGACACACGGCGGGUGCUAACGUCCGUCGUGGAGAGGGAAACAACCCAGACCGCCAGCUAAGGUCCCAAAGUAUAGCUAAGUGGGAAACGAUGUGGGAAGGCUCAGACAGCCAGGAUGUUGGCUUAGAAGCAGCCAUCAUUUAAAGAAAGCGUAAUAGCUCACUGGUCGAGUCGGCCUGCGCGGAAGAUGUAACGGGGCUAAGCUAUACACCGAAGCUGCGGCUACGUACCUUAGGGUAUGUGGGGUAGGGGAGCGUUCUGUAAGCCGUUGAAGGUGGUCUGUAAGGGCUGCUGGAGGUAUCAGAAGUGCGAAUGCUGACAUGAGUAACGAUAAAGGGAGUGAAAAACUCCCUCGCCGGAAGACCAAGGGUUCCUGUCCAACGUUAAUCGGGGCAGGGUAAGUCGACUCCUAAGGCGAGGCCGAAAGGCGUAGUCGAUGGGAAACGGGUUAAUAUUCCCGUACUUCUUACAAUUGCGAUGGGGGGACGGAGAAGGCUAGGUGGGCCUGGCGACGGUUGUCCAGGUUCAAGUAUGUAGGCGGGUGGUUUAGGUAAAUCCGGACCGCUACUAACGCUGAGAUACGAUGUCGAGCUACUACGGUAGUGAAGUCAUUGAUGCCAUGCUUCCAGGAAAAGCCUCUAAGCUUCAGAUUGUAAGGAAUCGUACCCCAAACCGACACAGGUGGUCGGGUAGAGAAUACCAAGGCGCUUGAGAGAACUCGGGUGAAGGAACUAGGCAAAAUGGUACCGUAACUUCGGGAGAAGGUACGCUCUUAUCAGUGAAGUCCCUUGCGGAUGGAGCAGACGAGAGUCGCAGAUACCAGGUGGCUGCAACUGUUUAUUAAAAACACAGCACUGUGCAAAAUCGUAAGAUGACGUAUACGGUGUGACGCCUGCCCGGUGCCGGAAGGUUAAUUGAUGGGGUUAGACUUCGGUCGAAGCUCUUGAUCGAAGCCCCGGUAAACGGCGGCCGUAACUAUAACGGUCCUAAGGUAGCGAAAUUCCUUGUCGGGUAAGUUCCGACCUGCACGAAUGGCGUAAUGAUGGCCACGCUGUCUCCACCCGAGACUCAGUGAAAUUGAAAUCGCUGUGAAGAUGCAGUGUACCCGCGGCUAGACGGAAAGACCCCGUGAACCUUUACUACAGCUUGGCACUGAACAUUGAACCUACAUGUGUAGGAUAGGUGGGAGACUAUGAAAUUGCGUCGCUAGAUGUGAUGGAGUCGUCCUUGAAAUACCACCCUUGUAGUUUUGAUGUUCUAACGUUGG